UACGUAGGAUCCAAGCGUUGUCCGGAUUUACUGGGUAUAAAGGGUGCGUAGGCGGCUUUUUGCGUCAGAGGUGAAAUCCACGGGCUUAACCCGUGGGGUGCCUUUGAAACGGGAAGGCUUGAGUAUGACAGAGGCGGAUGGAAUUCCUGGUGUAGCAGUGAAAUGCGUAGAUAUCAGGAGGAACACCGGUGGCGAAGGCGGUCCGCUGGGUCAUAACUGACGCUGAGGCACGAAAGCGUGGGGAUCAAACAGGAUUAGAUACCCUGGUAGUCCACGCCUUAAACGAUGUAUGCUUGGUGUUGGAACAGCAAUGUUUCAGUGCCGGAGGGAAUCUAUUAAGCAUACCACCUGGGGAGUACGAUCGCAAGGUUGAA
rnacentral:rRNA from 1 species